ACCGCACUUCAUUUCUUACAUUGUUUGCUCCUCUUAUCAAGGGCACAUCGGUCAGAUGCAUCCUUGAAAAAAGGGUACAUUGAUCAAGUUGUUUCCUGAUGUUUGCACUCGCUGCUUUAUAGCGUAUUUUUUUCAUAUGAUUUUGGAUAUUUUGUUUCCGUACUGUACCUUAGUUUGGAAUUUAUUUUGUAGGCCCCUUAUCUUGGGCCCCUACAAUAAGUAAACUCAACAUGCGUGAUUCUGAUUAGAGGCAACCGGAUCGUUAUUGAACAUAUUGAUGAUUCCUGUUGUGUAUUCUCAAGGAAUGGUCAGGUUUAGUACUGUAACUAUUUUCUUAUCAAAUAUAUUUGGGUGGUGCUCAAAAUGCAGAGCUGAAAAGCAAGAAACGUAAAGCCACCUCUGAAGAUAAGUUCACCAUGCCUCCCAGAGUGUCACCCCGCUUCGUUGAACUUAAUGGAAUAAGAUCAGAUCAGAAUAACCUUUGUAAACUAGGCAACUGAAUCAUUUCAUUGUUGCUUGUCCAUGUAACGAAGAACUAUCAUUUGGGUACCAAGUUCCACUUCAGGCCAGGAAAAUUUCUUAUAACUUCAAAACGGCAAGGGAUGCACCAUUGUCUUCAGGUCUGCCUUGCAGGUUGGAGUGCAGCUUUCAGAUAUCUUUCUUUCCUUGGGAUAGUUGGAAUGGAAUACUAUGACUAGAUAUACAAUGGUAGUGUUAUCAGUGUUCGGCCUUCAAUGAUUUCGGUGCAGCAUGUCUAGACCAUCAACGGCAAUUUGAGCUCCUUAGUGAAGUAGGUUUGUAAGGCGUUGCUUCAACUCAAGAAAAUCAAUGGCCACAAUUGGGAAGUUGACUGACAAUCCAAAGAGAGUGCCAAUUUUCAAUCUCGUGUUUAGGUGCUUACAUCAAUCUCGUGCAUAGUCUCGAUCACCACCACCGAGGCAGCUACUUCUGCUGGCAGGGGCUGGGCGCCGCCGUGAGGAUGCUAUCACCCAUGCACGCAGUGAUGGCAUGGUGGCCGAAGAAGGCCGUCUUCUGGGGAGUCGCGUGCUGGCCGCCAUCUCCACCCGCGGCCACACCAACAAGACAGGUGAUUUUAGGGUUGGUUCUGUCUGAAACCAAGCUAGCAGGUGAGCCAAAUCAAUCAUUUCACGGUUCUUAAACAGUACAUAACAUAAUGCUAAUUGUGUGUUUUUCAGUAAUAUGCAGAGAAGGUUCGCCUGACAUAAUGACCAACGAGAGCAAGUUGUUUUUUCUUGAUGAAAAUGAUAGCUACCACUUGAUGAGAUUUAGCAAUACAAGCAUUUCCUCUAAUUUUAUUUGUAGCUAAUCCUUUAAGCUCCAAGGAAAUAGCUGAAUGUCACUACCAAAUUAAAUUACCUUUGUACAGAAAAUACGUGGAGUUAUGUGAUCUGCAAGUGAGCAGCUCUCUCACCAACGAGUUAAUAACAUUAAAAUAGGUAGCAGUACCAAUUUUUCCCAGUAAAAGUGAUCUUUUGUUUUCUUCAUUCAAUUAACCAUCGUUUUGAUCGAUGAUGCAUAAUAGAAAUAUGCAUUCCUUUACUGUUUUUUCUCCAUAAGAUCCUUUUAUCACUCAUUAAAAUUUUGCAAGUUCUUGCCAUACCCGAAGCUUCCAUUAUCGCUGACUUCGCCGGAAUGCCUGCACCCAUGUUCCAGGUCUGCAGGAGGUGCCUUUGAGAACUUGAUCAGCUACUCGAGCUUCAUUGUCAGCGAAGUCUCCACUGGGUUGCCCAGAUCUGUCCUGAAUUGCUUCAUUGAUGACAAUUUGGAGAAGGCUCCGCUGACACUUACAAAGGAUGUUUUCCUUUGUUGGAAAGACGAGGAUACGCUGGAGAUAGACAUGGGGUGGUAAGAAAAUGAUGAGUUACUGAUGAUAUUAUGCUUGCUGGUCUAAACCUGCAUGUAUUAUGUCAGUUUGUUGUUAAGAGUAUCUUGAAAAUAUAAAGCCACUGGAUGGCCAGGCAUUCUAUACUAUCGUCUUUCCAAGAGCCCACAUUUCUGCAUGUAUAUAUUUGUUGUACAGCCUAUGCUGGUUUGCCUACAAUAAUUAUCAGAAGGUAAUAUGCAGCAGCCAAA